UUCUUGAGUGUGUACUUGUUAAGCCUUUUAAGAAAAAAGUUAUUAACUUAAGGAAUUAUAACAAAGAAGCAACACGUAAAUGGAUUUUCCAUUUUUUAGUGUGUAUCAAUCGAGUUUCUGACCUAUCAGCUUUUGAUGUUAGGGUAUUGGCCUAACAUGGCUAUGACGGGUAACGGGGAAUUAGAGUUCGAUUCCGGAGAGGGAGCCUGAGAAAUAGCUACCACAUCUAAGGAAGGCAGCAGGCGCGUAAAUUACCCAAUUCUAAAGAAGAGAGGUAGUGACAAGAAAUAACAAUACAAGGCCAAUCUGGCUUUGUAAUUGGAAUGAUGGGAAUUUAAAACCUUCCCAAAACUCAAUUGGAGGGCAAGUCUGGUGCCAGCAGCCGCGGUAAUUCCAGCUCCAAUAGCGUAUAUUAAAAUUGUUGCAGUUAAAACGCUCGUAGUUGAAUUUCAAAGAAUCGAUAUUUUAAGUAACGCUUUGUAGAUUAAUCCACAUAACUGAUACUACGUAUCGACUUUGUGCGCAUUUUUCUACUUAUGUGUUCUUUUAAUUAAAAUGAUUCUUUUUAAGAUCUUUCUUUUUUGCUUCGGCAUUUUAGGAGAUCUUGUUACUUUGAGUAAAUUAGAGUGUUCAAAGCAAACAGAUUAUAGCAUCUUUAUGCGUUUGAAUACUACAGCAUGGAAUAACAAAAUUGAACAAGUCAGAAUUUUGUUCUUUUUUCUUAUUUUGGCUUAGCUACGAUUAAUAGGAGUAGCUUGGGGGCAUUUGUAUUCAGAUGUCAGAGGUGAAAUUCUUAGAUUUUCUGGAGACAAACAACUGCGAAAGCAUUUGCCUAAAAUACUUCCAUUAAUCAAGAACGAAAGUUAAGGGAGUGAAGACGAUCAGAUACCGUCGUAAUCUUAACCAUAAACUAUGCCGACUAGGC
rnacentral:rRNA from 1 species